GUGGGUGUAGCUCAAUUGGUUAGAGCACUGGGUUGUGGCCCCAGAGGUCGUCGGUUCGAGCCCGAUCACUCACC
rnacentral:tRNA from 1 species